AUUGAACGCUGGCGGAAUGCUUUACACAUGCAAGUCGAACGGUAGAGGGGGCAACCCCUCGAGAGUGGCGAACGGGUGAGUAAUAUAUCGGAACGUGCCCAGUCGUGGGGGAUAACGUAGCGAAAGUUACGCUAAUACCGCAUACGAUCUAAGGAUGAAAGCGGGGGACCGGAAGGCCUCGCGCGAUUGGAGCGGCCGAUAUCAGAUUAGGUAGUUGGUGAGGUAAAGGCACACCAAGCCAACGAUCUGUAGCUGGUCUGAGAGGACGACCAGCCACACUGGAACUGAGACACGGUCCAGACUCCUACGGGAGGCAGCAGUGGGGAAUUUUGGACAAUGGACACAAGUCUGAUCCAGCCAUUCCGCGUGCAGGAUGAAGGCCCUCGGGUUGUAAACUGCUUUUGUACGGAACGAAAAGGUCUCUCCUAAUACGAGGGGCUCAUGACGGUACCGUAAGAAUAAGCACCGGCUAACUACGUGCCAGCCGCCGCUGUAA
rnacentral:rRNA from 1 species